UAUCUGUAACCUGGGACUGUUGAAAGCAGGAGCAGCAUGUUUUUCUUAGGAGACUGGCCAGGCUGACUUUCUAUUUAUAAAGAAAGGCAGCCCUUAUUGGUCUUGCAGCAAGCAAAAGAGUCAGGGUGAUGCCCAGAGGCCUCAGUGAGAGUCAGGACCCGACUACGCUAGAGGCACAACACACAAGAAGGCAUGACUCCUGCUCCAACGAGAUUUCAGUCUAAUUUAAGACACGUUGCAACCAAUGAGUGUGAUAAAUAAUGGGAGCAAUGGAGGAGAGAAGAAAAGGCUAACAGUCGUAAGCUAAGGCUGGUACAUAGGCUUAUUGUAUACUCAACUUGAAGGUUUCAAAUCAUGUGUGGUGGUGGUAGUUUUUAAAUAAAUACGUAAAAUCAACUGUCCACAA